AACUUAAAGGAAUUGACGGGGCCCGCACAAGCGGAGGAGCAUGUGGUUUAAUUCGAUGAUACGCGAGGAACCUUACCUGGGCUCGAACGUAAGAUGACUGUAGGUGAAAGCUUACAUCUCUUCGGAGCAUUUUACGAGGUGCUGCAUGGUUGUCGUCAGCUCGUGCCGUGAGGUGUCGGGUUAAGUCCCAUAACGAGCGCAACCCCUACCUUUAGUUGCCAUCAGGUUAAGCUGGGGACUCUAAAGGAACUGCCUACGCAAGUAGUGAGGAAGGCGGGGAUGACGUCAAAUCAGCACGGCCCUUACGUCCAGGGCUACACACGUGCUACAAUGGUCGGUACAAAGGGUUGCCAAGCCGCGAGGUGGAGCUAAUCCCAUAAAACCGAUCGUAGUCCGGAUCGCAGUCUGCAACUCGACUGCGUGAAGUCGGAAUCGCUAGUAAUCGUGAAUCAGAAUGUCACGGUGAAUACGUUCCCGGGCCUU
rnacentral:rRNA from 1 species